rnacentral:rRNA from 1 species
AUUGAACGCUGGCGGCAGGCCUAACACAUGCAAGUCGAGCGAGCGGCGGACGGGUGAGUAAUGUAUGGGGACUGCCCGAUAGAGGUGGAUACCUACUGGAAACGUUAGCUAAUACCGCAUACUAUCGGAUCACCCAUCUGGGAUUAGCUAGUAGGUGGGGUAAUGGCUCACCUAGGCGACGAUCCCUAGCUGGGCUGAGAGGAUGAUCAGCCACACGGGGACUGAGAAACGGCCAAGACUAGUACGGAGGCAGCAGGGGGGAAUAUGGCACAAUGGGCGAAAGCCUGAGGCAGCCAUGCCGCGUGUAUGAAGAAGGCCGUAGGGUUGUAAAGUACUUUAAGUCGGGAGGCGUUACCGACAGAAGAAGCACCGGCUAACUCCGUGCCAGCAGCCGCGGUAAUAC